CCUACGGGAGGCAGCAGUGAGGAAUAUUGGUCAAUGGCCGGAAGGCUGAACCAGCCAAGCCGCGUGAAGGACGAAGGUGCUAAGCAUUGUAAACUUCUUUUGUCAAGGGACAAAAUCAGGCUCGAGAGCCUGACCGAGGGUACUUGAAGAAAAAGCAUCGGCUAACUCCGUGCCAGCCGCCGCGGUAAUACGGAGGAUGCGGGCGUUAUCCGGAUUUAUUGGGUUUAAAGGGUGCGUGGGCGGGGUGUUAAGUCAGCGGUAAAAUCCCGGGGCUCAACCCCGGCAAGCCGUUGAAACUGGCUGGCUUGAGAGGGCGAGAGGUAUGCGGAAUGCGUGGUGUAGCGGUGAAAUGCUUAGAUAUUGCGCAGAACUCCGAUUGCGAAGGCAGCAUACCGGCGGCGAACUGACGCUGAGGCACGAAAGCGUGGGUAUCGAACAGGAUUAGAGACCCUGGUAGUC
rnacentral:rRNA from 1 species